UGGGGAAUAUUGCACAAUGGGCGCAAGCCUGAUGCAGCCAUGCCGCGUGUAUGAAGAAGGCCUUCGGGUUGUAAAGUACUUUCAGCGGGGAGGAAGGGAGUAAAGUUAAUACCUUUGCUCAUUGACGUUACCCGCAGAAGAAGCACCGGCUAACUCCGUGCCAGCAGCCGCGGUAAUACGGAGGGUGCAAGCGUUAAUCGGAAUUACUGGGCGUAAAGCGCACGCAGGCGGUUUGUUAAGUCAGAUGUGAAAUCCCCGGGCUCAACCUGGGAACUGCAUCUGAUACUGGCAAGCUUGAGUCUCGUAGAGGGGGGUAGAAUUCCAGGUGUAGCGGUGAAAUGCGUGGAGAUCUGGGGGAAUACCGGUGGCGAAGGCGGCCCCCUGGACGAAGACUGACGCUCAGGUGCGAAAGCGUGGGGAGCAAACAGG
rnacentral:rRNA from 1 species